CCUACGGGUGGCAGCAGUGAGGAAUAUUGGUCAAUGGGCGAGAGCCUGAACCAGCCAAGUCGCGUGAAGGAUGACGGCCCUACGGGUUGUAAACUUCUUUUGUCAGGGAGCAAUUGAGUCCACGUGUGGGCUUAUCGAGAGUACCUGAAGAAAAAGCAUCGGCUAACUCCGUGCCAGCAGCCGCGGUAAUACGGAGGAUGCGAACGUUAUCCGGAUUUAGUGGGUUGAAAGGGUGCGUAGGCGGAAUAUCAAGGCAGCGGUAAAAAUUCGGGGCUCAACCCCGUCGUGCCGUUGAAACUGAUGUUCUGGAGUGGGCGAGAAGUAUGCGGAAUGCGUGGUGUAGCGGUGAAAUGCAUAGAUAUCACGCAGAACUCCGAUUGCGAAGGCAGCAUACCGGCGCCCAACUGACGCUGAAGCACGAAAGCGUGGGUAUCGAACAGGAUUAGAUACCCUGGUAGUC
rnacentral:rRNA from 1 species